ensembl:lncRNA
GUAGGUUUACCUAAAAAAAGACACACUGCUGUCAUUUCUACAUCUACAUUUAAACCAGUACAUCUAAACGACAUUUCUCACGGAUAUAACGCAUUUAAAGUUAAAGAUCUUAGCUUCACACAGUAAAGAUGCACGAAGUGGCAUGCUGUACCUCAACCAACUAAAUAUACUGCAAGCGCACAGAUUGAAUUUCAUGCAAACUGAUACGAAUGAACGCACGGUCAUGCCCUCACCACCUCCACAAAAACACGUACGUCUCCACCACCCUUUCAAAUGCCCUCCUCAACUCCUUCCCCAAGUCCUGUGUCCUAUGUCUCGAAGCCUUACAAAUAUGUCUCUACGGAUACAACUUGGAGAGAUGGAUUAUUCAAGCUGUUACCACAUUAAAGUGUUCUGUCCAUCUUAAAUGUGGUUACUUGGGAACCUUGAUACAAGACUGCUGAGCAGUAACAAAAAUGAUUUGUAAUUGCUUGAAUGGUAAUGCUUUUAAAAUUGAGC